rnacentral:rRNA from 1 species
GGCUCAGGAUGAACGCUGGCGGCGUGCCUAAUACAUGCAAGUCGAGCGAGAAUCAGCAGAUCGGAGAUCGUCAAAGAGAAGCUGAGGAAAGCGGCGGACGGGUGAGUAACGCGUAGGCAACCUGCCCUUAGCAGAGGGAUAGCCAUUGGAAACGAUGAUUAAAACCUCAUAAUGCUGUAUUUACACAUGUAGAGACAGCCAAAGAUUUAUCGGCUAGGGAUGGGCCUGCGUCUGAUUAACUAGUUGGUGAGGUAACGGCUCACCAAGGUGACGAUCAGUAGCCGACCUGAGAGGGUGAUCGGCCACAUUGGAACUGAGACACGGUCCAAACUUCUACGGAAGGCAGCAGUAAGGAAUCUUGCACAAUGGGGGAAACCCUGAUGCAGCAACGCCGCGUGAACGAUGAAGGCCUUAGGGUUGUAAAGUUCUGAUCUGUGGGAAGAAGAAGUGACGGUACCACAGGAGAAAGCCCCGGCUAAAUACGUGCCAGCCGCAGC